AACACAGUACUUUUCCUUCACUAUCGAUUUUUUUCACUCUCCACUCUCGAUUCACAUCCCAGUUUUAUCCCUACACUUCCUGUGUUGCCACUACUCCACUACAGCUACCAUUUGCAUAUUAUCUCAACUAGGAGUGGAGGCACCAAGGGGCCAGGGCGGUCAGUGGCCCACUGGAAAACCUAACCCUUCAGAGCCACGCAACCAAACCAGCGAAUCACAGAUUUUUCUCCUCUCCACGACUUCGCCCAGCGCCUCAGCUCUCACUCUUGUCUCUCGCCACCUUCCACCACCGACCACCAGCGCUUCUCAGUUCUCACUUUUGU
rnacentral:lncRNA from 1 species